rnacentral:rRNA from 1 species
CGGACGGGUGAGUAACACGUGGGUAACCUGCCCGGAAGUGGGGAAUACCUCGGGGAAACUCGAGCUAAUACCGCAUAACAUCUUUAGGACGAUGGUCCUGACGAUCAAAGCGGGGUCGCAAGAUCUCGCGCUACCGGAUGGGCCCGCGCCUGAUUAGCUAGUUGGUGGGGUAACGGCUCACCAAGGCUUCGAUCAGUAACCGGCCUGAGAGGGCGAUCGGUCACACCGGAACUGAGACACGGUCCGG